rnacentral:lncRNA from 1 species
UCGGGGGAGGGUAUAAGGGAGCCCAGGGACACUGGGGCACCAGCUCGUUAACACGUGUGUAUGAAUGCCGGCUGUGCGCUUGGCAAAUCCUUAAUUACACAGGGAGAACUUCCUGAACCGGGAACUCAGUAUCGGUCCCUGAAAGGUUGGGUAAUGGCUUCUUCUUGCAUCUGGAAUCCAAGGGGACCAAUCUCUCUGGCUCCCCUGGGCUCUCAGAUUCUUCUAGAUGUCUUUGUCUUCUAAAAUUCUGGGAUCCCAAGGGAAGACACAUAGUUAAGGACACUCAGAAAUGCAUACCUUUCAACCCUACUAAUCAUCCUAAAACCUGUGCUUUCAACAUAUCACGUCCUUGAUCUGUAACCCUCAGGGGCACCCACGAUCUCCAAUGACUGGGAGUGAUGGCAUUUAAGUCUUUCCACCAUGCAGAAGUUUCUUCCCUCAUUCCCCAUGAAUUCUCUCCUGUAGCCAGCCUGGCCCCUCAUAACCCCUUGGAUAUACUGUAUCUUGAAUUCUCCAGCCUUUCUGCAGUUGCCUUCCUGGGACAUUCAUUCCCAUGUUCACAAUCUAGCCAAUUGUAUCCCUUCUCUAUUCAGUUCUAGCAUCAGUCAGUCAAUCAACAAGCAUUUAUUGAAAGUCCACUAUGUACAAGACAUGUUCUAGGCCCUGGUAAUACAUCAGAGACUGAGACAAAUACCUGUUCUUAAGGAUUUUAUAUUUUAAUGGGAGAAACAGAGUAGACUCAUGGCUCACGCCUAUAAUCCCAGGACUUUGGGAGGCCAAGGCAAGAGGAUCACUUGAGGCCAGGAGCUCAAAACCAGCCUGGGCAGCAAGUGUCUUCUUUUGCCUCUGCAAAAGAAAAUUAAAAAUAACAAAAAAAGGAAGCUAAACUAGAGUAUUGUGGUAGAGGGGUGUGUGUGUGUGCAUGUGGGUGCAUCCGUGUGUGUGGUAGGUUGAUGGGUGCUGUUUUAUUUAGCCAGGGAAGGUCUCUUUGAGGAGGUGGCAUUCGAGACCUUCUGGGUGGGAAGGAGGCAGCCAUGUGGUGAUCUGGGGAAGAGUGCUGCAAGCAGAAAGGCAAGUAAAAACAAAAGCCCUGAGGCAGAAAUGUGCUCCUUAUGCUUAAGAAACACCGUGAAGGCCAACGUGGUUGGAGCAAUGUGAGCAAGAAGAAUAGAGGGGCCUUGGGAACAUAGGUAGCUGAGUCCUCAUGGAUCAAGGCACCUUGACUUUAAGUGUCUGUUACACCAAAGGUUAUGGCAAACUGUGUCUGCAGCCCACAGUAAAAUCCAGUUUAAGGCUCUCCACACUGGAGUGCAGCUAUCCAGGUAGGUAGUGCCACCAGCCUAAGGUCACACCUUCUUCCUUGGCGUGAGGUUGCCCUACGUUGGCACUUAUCAUGGUCACUGCUUUGGUGACUGUCAUUCUGCCCAGGGCUUUAAGUGACCACCUUCCACAGACUCCCCCAUUUCAUACUACAGAGAAAGCAUCUUGUGUCUUACCUUCCCUCCCUUAGUGUGCUAGGACUGCCUGGUGAGUGGCACUAAAGGAUCAUCCCUUGGUUCCUGAUAUCUAGGAACCCACAUAUGCUUAAAAACAGCAAGAUAACUCCCCAGAUUGAAUCUCUGCAGGCUGAAAAGUUGGAUGGAUUCCAACUAGAGCACCAUUUCCCUAAUCCCACACACUUUUAAGGGACUAGAGACUGAGGAAUGUUCAGGGAUUAUCACAGAAUAUUCUGGUCCUUUUGUUGGAGCCUGAAAGCUCUUUAGAGCAAUUGAGUACACAGAAAUUCAGCCAGAAUGGGAGCACAAGCAGAAGCAGACCAAGCUAUUUCUCCCCUGAACACACACUCUGCACACUGACAGGUACAAAUAUAGCUAAAAGAAAUGACGAUUACAUAAGUUCCUAGCCAGUGUCCAGCACAUAGUAAGUCUAUCAGUUAGCUCUUCCUGUUUAACAAAUCUUCCCUAAACUUAGUGGCUCAAAACAACCACCCUUUAGCUUACGAUUCUGCAGUCUGGCAUAUUUCUGCCAGCUUGCCCAUGCUCAGAGGCCAGCUGCCUGGUGGGCUAGGGCCUGGCUGGACUAGGACAGCCUCAGCUGGGGCAGCUUCUCUGUGUUUCUCAUUCUCCAGCAGGCUAGCUUGGGCUUGUUCACACAAGUUUCCAGAGAGAGAAGUAGGCAAGAGCUUCAGAACCGUACAAACAAGGUCCGCUGCAUUCUACUGGCCACAGUGAGUCCCUAGGGCAGCCCCAGUCGAAGGAGCAGAGAGGUAGUCUGUUCCUCUUGAUGGAAGAGAGGCACAGAGUCAUUUAGCUUAGGGGUAAACAUAUAGACGCAGUGAAGGAUUGUGGCCACUUUUACAAUCUACCACUGUAGCUACCAAUAAGUUCUGUGUUUACAGUUUUUCAGCCAUUUCCAAAAGGAAUUAUAUUGAUGUGUUAGUUGACAAGCCUACAAUGAAAAGAUAGAUGGGAAAAGAAGACCAUCAGACAGGUAAAGAAGAUUGUCAAAGACCAAUACCUUUGUUAAUGCGCUUGCUCCCCCAACAGCCAACCCCUCGAAGGGUCCCUCCCUGACCCAGCCCUCCUCCUCCCUCCCCUUAAUGUGAGAUCCUCACUGGGCCUCAGCCCAGGGCUUGCGUCCUGCCCUCAGGGCAUGAGCAUCUGGUUGAGACUGUCUCCAUCUUCUGGCGUAGCAGCUUUGGUCCCUUGUGAGCUACUCAACUCCUUGAUGGAGUCAUUUCAGAGUCUCUGGGAAAAAUUGAAGCUCUCCUCCAAGAGUUGGGGGUGGGCUCCCCUGGUCUGGAAUGUUCUUUCCCGUCUUAUUUGGAAGUUAGAAAGUGGCUAGUAACAUGGCCAGCGCCUGUGGGAUCAUCCUCUUCCUCAAGGUGGCUGGAUAUGUGGAGACAAGCACGAAGAAGUCCAGGCUCUGUCACGACGUUGCUGACUGGCUUCUGUCACAUUUUCAGGCAUCUUUUAGCUAGAGGUGCGCGUGUGACACCACAUGGACUGUGAGAAAUAGUCAAGUUCAGCCUAGUGACGCUUCUGGCAAAGCUUGUUUUCCUGAUUUUUAAAAAAGGAGUUGGGGGAGUGCCAUGCCUUUUGUCCUUCCUCCCUCCUCCUGCCUGGAACAUGGAUGUGAGACCAGGAAGUACAGCAGCCAUCUUGUGACCAUGAGGACUAAAGGCCUGCGCUGAGGAUGGUACAGUAAAAUGAAAGAAGCAGCCUGGAUGCCUGAUGAGCAGCUGUGCCAGCCCCAGGGUCAUGCAAAUCAGUGUCAAUCAUUGUGGUUCUGGUUUUCUCCUAUUUGUAGCCAAAUAAAUUCCUUACUGAUAUAGGCAGGGUCCUUGUUGGUUCCAAAAAAAAGUGGAUUCACAGAAAUAUAACUGAGAGAACCAUGAAUUUCUAAAGAAGUCCUAGAAAUAGAUCAGUCAGAGAAGUUGUCCAUUUCAGGCAGGGGUUUCUACUGUAAGUUGCUUGGAUGGAAAAUAAAUCAGUGUUAAGGAGGUGAGAAUGCCAUCACUUGAAUUGUAUGACUAUAUCUUAUUAAAUCUCAGAUGCCAUCAGUUGUAAGGUAUAGCAUUAUUUUACAUAUCACUAUGAGAGAAGAAAAUGCUCUCAAGACAUAUCACUGAUUGUAAGAUGCAUCCACCUUGAUUUCAGAGAUUUUAAAAUGUGAAAAAAGGGAGGGACAUCUUAGGAUCAGUGAAAUAUGGCACAUAUUUAUUUGCUUCCUUGAUUCCUGCCUGCUGUGCUCAUUAGACCAGAGACACUGUCUGCCAUGCUCUCUGCCAAGUCCUCCAUACCUAGAAUUGGGCCUGGCAUAGAGUGGGGUCUAUAAAUAUUGGUUAAUUAAUAAGUUAACUAAUAAGUUCUAGUCCUUGCUUUUCCAAUAACUUCCCAUGCUACCCUGGCUGGAGAAAGCAUUUCCCUUUCUCUGUACCUCAUUUCUCCAUAAUCUAGUUCAACUGACCCUCACCAGAACUGAAGAAACAAAAAGCCCCAAAUACAUGCAAAGCGGACCUACACUCUGCAUCACCAUGGUGACGCCUCCCAGGGUCCCAGAGGGCAGGGAGGCCUCAUCUUCCACCAUCCCUAGAAAUCUCUCUUUCCCCAGAGCCCAACUCCUUCUAAAGCUCUGUGGUUAACCCUUUCCAGGCAAGCCUUUUCCAACACUCUGUUAGGGUUACUAAAUGUGCUCCCUACAAAUGGACUAGGGCCAAGGAAUUAUGCAAGAUCCUUCAAGCAAAGAGAUGGUAUUUUGUAACUUCCCUGAGUUUCUCCAGGAAGAUGAAAUGCACAACAUAUUUUAGAAUAAUAUCAACCUACAUAUGUCAGAGAGGUAGUCUUGUCUGACCAAAGCCCUUGAGCUGGUGAGGGGCGGGGUUCCAGGUGCCCCUUCUGCUGCACUAGCAUUGUAUUCAGAAGUAAUAAAGAUGAUGGCUUUCAUGUAAUGAGUGACGAACCCUUUGCAUAUAUUCCUUCAUUGAGUCUUCAACAGAAACUUAUGGGGUAGGAAGUAUCUUUAUCCCCAUUUUACAAGUGGGGAAACUGAGGCAUAUAGCUGUUAAGUAGGUGGCAGAGCCUGGCCUCGAAGUCAGGUGGGGUAGCACCAGAGUUUAUGCUCUUAACCACUAUGCUCUA